GGUGAUCUUGUCGGCUAGCUCGCGGUAGGCCGCGCCCGCGCCGUCGUCGGCGAAGCCCAGCGUCCAGCGGUGGAUGUUGUACAGGUCGGCGUACCCCCCGCCCGCGAAGGCGCGCAGCAGGUUCAGCGUCGAGGCCGACUGAUUAUAGGCGCGGAUCAGGCGCUGCGGAUCGGGCGUGCGCUCUUCCGGCGUGAAGCCCAUGCCGUUGAUGAUGUCGCCGCGAUAGGACGGCAGUUCGACCCCGCCGAUCUCCUC
rnacentral:tmRNA from 1 species